ensembl:lincRNA
GUUGCCCUCCUUCCGUGAAUACCAGCAUAGUACAAAUGCCUUUCGAAAAGCCACUUCUUUGGUGCCACACUGAAAGAACUCAAGGCCAGCCAGCUCCACUGACCUAAAUUGGAUGUAGACUGAAUUAAAUGUAAUGGAUACAGGAGGAAAGGCAGGUGCUAAAAGUACAGUCAUAAGCCUGCAGAAAGCUAUCAGACAUGGAACACCCUUGACUCUUGGUCUCAAAAGAUGCACAGACCUACAGCAGGUGGGGACGCAACUGAAAGUUUUGCACUCUGGACACCUGGAAUUUCCACUCACUUCAGUUACAGCUCUGCCAGAUUUAACAAAUUUAAACAAUCCAAUAAUGUUCCAUGUCUGGUUUGAUGAGAAUAAAAAGCAGUUCUUCCACUGGAUGGUGAGCACUGACAAGGAUGUUGCAGAGGAGUUCACACGUCAGACCUCAAUGUUGAGGGCCUUGAGAUGACACAGCACCGGGCUCCCUGGCUCCCGUGGAAGUGGCACGCACCUUCCGUCACAGAUAGCCGGAACACAGGCAAGGGAAGUCCAGCUGCUUGAGCCCGACAGUGUGUCACUACAGGCUGUGGAGUCAUGUACAAAAGAAUGCUGAAGUCAGAACAAGUCUAGUCAUUACACCUGCUAGAAGGACGUUUUGCUUGUAGGCAAUCACGCAUAAGAACCCUCUUUCAUAACCUCUGCAGCUCUACUUAUUUUGGGAGAUUGACACACAGGGGACCCUUUGAUGCUUGUAACUUCCGCCCUUUGUCUCUGAAUGUAUAUUUUUCUUUCCUAAAGGCAUUGCCAGCUAAUCAUCCACAGCCUUGUCCCCCAGUGCCGAGGCAGCUUUCCCCAGUGAGGGUCCGUCAGGACAGGCCUCGUGUUGGAGGGGUUGUGACAGGUGAUGAGAGUCAGUGAUGUAAACCUUUCUUGACAGUAAUAAAACAGAGGGAGAAAAAUUAUUGUAUAAAGCAUGGAUGAUGUAUCUCAAAGUGUGCCUUGGUUUAGUACAAUUGUCUUAUGUGUUUUGUGUUCUUUGGCCUGUUAGUCUGGCUGUUAACCUGUAGGUAUGAUAAUUAACUUGAUAAAGACGUAAAUUAAUGAAUGAAUCUGAUGCUGGCAAAGUACAUUUUUUUAAAGAGGGGAUGUAGCAGGAGGGGAAAAACAGGAAUUGAGCUGUGUUACGUACCAUUCCGCACAAUGAAUUGUAUUAUGUAUGGCAAACGUAUACUAAUAAAAAUGAGAAAUUAGAAAGAAAGCCAAUCUUUCUGUAAAGCAAGCUUAGUUCUUCUGGAAAGGGAUAUCAAGCAAAUAUUUAAGAGUCCUCUCUGUUUGUAAACCAAUGUGAAUUAUCAUUUAGGAGAAAACAAACAAUUUACUAAUGCCAAGAACAAUAAUUACAGUUUAGUAACAUCUUUAGGAUUUUUAGGUACACAUACAGAACUAUAAACAAUUUUUAAUAGUGUACCAAAAUUAAUAUCUGUAUUCCCAACUAAGAACAUACAUUUUUGAGCAAUACUGUCUCUUAUGGACCAAGAGGAAUAUGGCUUUUGCCAGUUAUAUGACUAUUAGCAAUACCUAAUGUAACAAUUAAGCAAAACAAUUUGAUAACUUUUACAAUAUAUUAGACAACAAUCAU